rnacentral:misc_RNA from 1 species
UCUCCGUUGGUGAACCAGCGGAGGGAUCAUUACCGAGUUUACAACUCCCAAACCCCUGUGAACAUACCUAUCGUUGCCUCGGCGGCGCCCGCUCCGGCGGCCCGCCAGAGGACCCCCAAACUCUUGUUUUAUACAGUAUCUUCUGAGUAACACGAUUAAAUAAAUCAAAACUUCCAACAACGGAUCUCUUGGUUCUG